ensembl:lncRNA
AUUUUUAGGUUGAUAUUAAUGAAGACAUUAAUUAAUGUGUUUAUGAACAGUGUAAAUAUAAACCUACAUCAGGUGUUAAGAGGGCUGACCCCAUUUAGUCGACUGGUUGAUUGAUAGGCUGUUGGUCGACCAAGACUGUUUUAUUGGAGCAGUGGCAAAUAUAUAAAACAAAUGUAUGACACACGAGACACCCGUCUGAUUCACGCCUGUCUCAGUGGACUAAUUCAUUGUGGAGGCCGCGGGGAUUGCACACCAGUAUCACAUUUACUGUUAAUUCCCAUAGUUUCUAAUAUACAAUGUUUGUUUGGUUACGGUCAUUUCAGUUAAUGCAUUCAAUAUUUAUUAUUAUUACAGUCUUACCGUUGUCAUUGUAUGAAUGGAAACGUUGUUUACAGAGCGCACAACCUAGGCUACACUUUUUUUUUCAAUUUCUUUCCUUUUACGAGUUAAUUUAUUAAUUGUCUUUUGUUUGGAGCGCUCCUGUCAAUUUUUGAGUAAGGACAAGCACCUGAUUACGCAUAAAAGUAGGCCUAGGCUACCUGGCCUGCGUGCAAAUGUAGGCCUGUAAAUGUGCCUAUUUGGGGAGCUGAUACUAUUUCUGUCUUAAAUCAGCAUCACUGUGUAGCUCCUCAAGCUACUCGUUCUUCGCCUCAAACAGUUUGACUGUAUAGCAACUACGAUGCCCAUAGACCGCUAGCUGCGGGCUGGAGCUGAAGAAAAUGAUUGAAGAUACCAAGACCGCAGAGCUGUGUUGUGAACACCAGUAAUAAAGUCAGGUCUACCCUGGAGGUUGGUGAUAGAGAUAAGGUACGUGCCGUGACGUUGGCUCCCUCUUCUGGGAGUACGCUUGCUGGGCACCCUGACACUGAUGGCUCCAAGUCAAAGUAUUUAGGGGAGAGUGCCAACCAGCUGUGCAGCCACAUAAAGCGAGCACCAUGGCACACUGUCAGAGGGAACAGUGAGACAGACACGGAGCAGAACCUGAGAAGAAGGACCUAGCCAAAUCUACAUUUACCACAUAUGGUGGAGAAUGCGGGCAUCUCAGUAGCUUUGGGUGCCGUGGGGUUGAACGUGCAGUGAUUACCAUGGAUUAUCUGGUGGCUCAGUUUAUCAUCAGCCAGCAGAAGCAACAGACUCUCCAGGAGCAAGCACUUGUGGAGCAGCGCCAACAAAACCUUAGACUGGUAGCGCAGGUAGCCCAGUUGGAGGCUGGGAUGGCUCAGGAGUCUAGCCCAAAUCAGUUCCUGGUUAAGUUAGAGGAAGAUGACGUGGAGACCUAUUUGUGCACCUUCGAGAGGAAAACUCAGAGUGAAGGAUGGGAUGGCCCAAGCCCAAGGGUGCCAAAAGGCUGGCCCACUAUCUUUCUGGGAAGGCCCAGAAGGCCUACUUCGACUUGAACGUUUCCACCAGAACACCCAAGACCUGCUGAAAAGGGCCCAGGUGGAGAGAGUGGAUGUUGGGAGGGGGAAGAAAAGUACAGAGAGGCGAGGGGCUAAAAGGUGGCCCGGACGGAAGGCGAGGCGAUGAAGUGGGAGGGCAACCCGAACCGACAACAUCCGCUGUUGGACCUAGAUCAGAGGCACCUUGCAUGGAGCUGCCCCGGCCGGGAGGAGUCCAUGCUCUCCGCAUCCCCCUGCUCCGGGGUAACCCGGAUGAAGAGUUAUGUCACCCCCUGUUGGGUGUACACCGAGA